AGAACACCAAAGGCGAAGGCAGUGUACUGGAACAUUCCUGACGCUCAGGGACGAAAGCGUGGAGAACGAAGCGGAUUAGAUACAAACUUGGUUUCCAAACCAAGUUGUUGUGUCUCACGUCGAUUACAAAAUAAAUCGAGUGAAAAACUUGGCUAUUUGCUGGAAACUCCGAGUAUCUCUGAUUACCUAAUAAAGGUAAAAAAAUCAGAGUGCGGACAAUCAGCAGGGAAGAUCGCGCAGGCGAUCCCCUCAGAGACUAUACGCCGAGCCCAUCUAAUGGUGGGAAGAUAUAGUCCGAACUGCAUGGCGACAUGCAGAAGCGGGUAGAAAUAUCCCGCUCUCGUUAUCAAUAGUCAAUUGUCAAAUGUCAAUUGUUAUUGUUACGAAGUAACAACAUUGACCCGCGUAGCCCACGCCCUCAACGAUGAGUGCUAGAUAUUGGGAGUAUCGACCCUCCCAGUGUCGUCCAACCAAGCUAACGCGUUAAGCACUCCGCCUGGGAAGUACGGUCGCAAGACUAAAACUCAAAGGAAUAGACGGGGACCCGCACAAGCGGUGGAGCAUGUGGUUCAAUUCGACGGUAAGCGAGGAACCUUACCAGGGCUCGAAAUGUUGGGAGUAUCCCGCGGGAAACCGUGGGGGACCGUUAAAUCGGAUCCCAGUAUAGGUGCUGCACGGUUGUCGUCAGCUCGUGGUUUGAACCGUUCCAUUAAGUUGGGUAACGAGCGCAACCCCCGUCCUGUGUUGUAUUUUUCACAGGAGACCGCCCACCCCUUUGUUCGCGGAGCGAACAACAUUUGACAUUUGACAUUUGACAUUUGACCAAUCGGUCAGAUGUUAGGUGUCAGGUGUCAGGUGUUGCGCGCUCACGCGCAAAGGGGUGGGAGGAAGGUGGGGAUGACGUCAAAUCAGCGUGGCCCUUAUGUCCUGGGCUACACACGUGCUACAAUGGCCGGUACAAUGGGUUGCCAAGCCGCAAGGCGGAGCUAAUCCCAAAAAACCGGCCCCAGUUCGGAUCGAGGUCUGCAACUCGACCUCGUGAAGUCGGAAUCGCUAGUAAACGCGCAUCAGCCACGGCGCGUUGAAUACGUUCUCGGGUCUUGUACUCACCGCCCGUCAAGCUAAGGGAGUCGGGAAUACCUAAAGCGCCCCGCAAGGGGCUUCAAGGUAAGCUCGAUGACAAGAGCUAAGUCGUAACAAGGCACGGGUAGCGGAAGCUGCUCGUG
rnacentral:rRNA from 1 species